UUUUCUCCCUCAGCCCUGGGAGGCUGAGCCCUGUCUUCCUGAUGGGAUGCUAUACCCAAGUUCAGCAGUACCAAAGUCAAGGGGAGUGACCAAAAGUGACCCAAAACUGCUGUGAUCUACUUUUUUUUUAAGGCUCUGCCAUUUUGUUUUAUUUCUUAAGGCAAGACUCUGAAAGUGUUCUGCAGGAGACACCUGGGUGCUGGGACUGGAGAAGCAGCCUGGCUGGGUCACCAAGGGGCUGUGUCCCUGCUCCCAACCUUUGGGGAUCCUGAGAACUGGAAAUAGUUGCUCCUUUUCUCCCUCAGCCCUGUCUUGCUGAUGGGAUGCUAUACCCAAGUUCAGCAGUACCCAAAGUCAAGGGGAGUGACCAAAAGUGACCCAAAACUGCUGUGAUCCACAGACUUGCAGCCUCUUUGCCUGGUUUAAAGCCUGGUAAAGGUUUGUACUGCUUGCCCCUUGCAUCUCCUCCUGGUGUUUUCAGGGUUAAGAGCUGCUGAAGAGCACAUCUUAUUGCCACCCAGCCCCUUCUGUGUGGGUUUCCUCCACCAGCCGUGCCCCAGGUCUCCAAAGCUGCCACAAGCACCAGGUCAUAGAGCAUCUCUUCCCCUGAUGUGACCAACUACACCCACAUCCAGAUCUGCCUCGCUGACCUUGCGUGUCCCCAUUCCCGGAAAGCCUCGGCCAUUUGCCUGCUCCGUAACCUCCAGCCAACACAGCUUGGGAAGCUGUGUUUCGUUUUCGGAUGAAGAGCGAGCCUCGCAGGGUAGCUGACAAGUUUGCAGUCCUUGCUCUGAGUCAGGCAUUGAAUUUUACUCAGUUGUUUUAUCUGGAGACAAAAGCAACAAACACCCCUUGCAGUAGAGCCACCCAGAGCUACCAGGUCAUAUGAGGAACAUCUCUGUUGAGCAUCUCCAGUGUCGACGACAACUCUUGCUCAGCACCUUCUGGACAUGGAAGUGAAGAGCUGUUUUGGACAGGAGCUGGUUCAAGCCUGUGGAUUCUGGGGUGUUUCUUCAUCCAUCUCUUUCCACCAUCAGUGCAGGAGGUACCCUCUUUACAAACGCUGGUUUUCCCAAAUCCUGGCAAGGAUUUAGUAAGGAUCAGAAACGAGGCUAAUAAGGCUUAUUGAGCCUCAGAUGUGUUUUGCACAUAAAACAUGACACCACUGAACGGGGAGGGUAUUAAUGCUACCACUGAGAUGAUGCACUAAAUUAUUGGUUGGUUAACAUCAUUUUAUUUACCACAAACUGGGGGCAGACUUUGCAGUGUUGGGAAAUUCAAGACCCCAGAAUAACUACAUGGUGGGAUAGUGUCACGGGAUAUGUGAAACAUUUUCUUUCUGGAAAAGACAGGCUGAGCUGCUGGUACGAUAGCUGAGCCUUUGCUCAAUCCUGGCACCUGUAUUGUAGGUAGGAUUAAAUUUCUGCUUCCUAACAGCAGAAAAUCAGGUCCAUACGUUUCUAUUUGGACAGUACAAUUAACAAAAAAAAUAACUCCAUUAGCAGGUUGUUCCGGAAACCAGGCGCUGGGCUGCAAUUAACAGCACACAGAUUACCUUCGUGUGGAAAUCAACACGUGCCAACAGUAGCCGGUGUUCCUCUGAUUUUGGGAUAAAGAAAAGGGAUUUUUUGAUCCAGAGGUACUAUACGCGAUUUGUUGUAUUUUUCUUCCUCCUCCUGAUCCUUUUCUCACAGUUCUGUUCA
rnacentral:lncRNA from 1 species